rnacentral:rRNA from 1 species
GACAGAGGGGGCAAGCGUUGCUCGGAAUUACUGGGCGUAAAGGGCGCGUAGGCGGGAUGGCAAGUCGGUCGUGAAAUCCCUCGGCUCAACCGAGGAACGUCGAUCGAUAUUGCUGUUCUUGAGGAUUGCAGAGGAGACUGGAAUUCCCGGUGUAGCGGUGAAAUGUGUAGAGAUCGGGAGGAACACCGGUGGCGAAGGCGGGUCUCUGGGCAAUUCCUGACGCUGAGGCGCGAAAGCGUGGGGAGCAAACGGG